UAAUACUAUUGUGGGUAUAGUGCAAGCCCACCCUUUCUCCAGAGCAUUAAAGGAGGCAGAAGAUUUCUUAAGGAAAGAGGAUAGGACUGAAGACAGAGUCUUAUGGUGAAAUGUCUAGGCUGAUCUUUUACCAAGACAUGGUGCUGGUAUGCAAAAAUAUAGAGACAUUGAUAGUCCACGGAUAUGGGCUAAGGGGAAGAAGUAUGAGGAGCCAACCUCAGGGACAAACUAGAUGGCACUUUAAUGAAAAAGCACUGCUUCUCCAUGGGUCAGCUAUGACACCACAGGACAUUCCAUGGCUGGUAAAAGAGGACAAGGGAACAGAACCUCAGAUCCAAAUCACUGAGGAGCUGUGCCACACAUUUUCGCUGUUACAAAACCUUGGGGUAUUUUAAAGAGACACAGUUUUCAACAACUGGCUCAUUAGGGCAGGGCUUUUUGUCCUCCAUGUUCCAGAAUGUCAAGCAGAGGAAUUAAUUAGCAGAAAGCCAUUAAGUUAGAUGACUGUUUCUCCAGGAGCAACAGUGGGAAAAGUUAGGUCCCUAAUGUAUCACAGAGUCUUUGUCAUGAAGGCUUCAGAUGGAGACUUUAACUCUUAUGAAGUGUGCGGAUUUAUGCUAAUUAAUUUGAAGAAAAGGUCAAGUUCAUGUUAAUAACCAAAUUGAACUGGUAUCUCUGCAUAAAGGUCACUGGAAAAGAUUAUGAUUUUACACAGUUUUAAUGUAGGAGCUACCAGCUUCAUCACAGCAUUGUGGCUCUUCAGCCAUGUUUCUUCAAGAGCUGAAUUAUACAGAGCUGCAAGAGUCUGAGAAGAGUUUUGCAAAUUGAAAAAAAUUCUGUAUCAGAAUAACCGAGGAACAUCUCUUCUGGGAAAUCAUAUCAGAAGAUUGUUUUAUAUAGCAGGUCACCACCACAAUAUUUAUUCUACUACACUCAUAAAAGCCCUUGUCUUUAAAACAUGCAAUGUGCCAUGUUCUCUGCAGAUAUUCUCACAGGCCAGCAUAUUCAGUAACCUGCAUCAUUCCAAUUUGUCUAAAUUUUAACUAGAUAGAUAUAAGUUUUCUUGCUUUGGAAAACUGGGGGGAAAUGAACGGGAAUGUCUAUUAUUGUAUGAAAAAGCAAUUUCCUUUGCCAGUAAUCUUUCAAAACCCCAUUCCUAUUAUUUGUGAUGCUUGUGUUUGAAAAAGGUCUUUAUCUUUCCUCUUACAGCUCUUAUAUAGAUGGAAUUAUUCAUUUUCCUAUUAAAUUGCCUAUUUCUACCAACAGUAUCUAUAAUUCAACCUGAUUUCCUUUGCAUGGUUAGUUUUGUUAAAACUCAGGAAAACAGAUGCUCCUUCAAAUGUAGAAAAUCAGAACAAAAUAUUUUGAAAAACUAACUUGUCCCUUUGAAAAAAGUGAAAUGUUUGCCAACCUAAAACAAUAAGUAAAACGAUCCCAGAGAGACCUGUCAGGAAAGUACCCCCAAAGUAGAUGUACAGGUUUCUCCUGGCUUGGGCUGAACACAAGGUUAAGGACAUGCAAUGUCAGCUUUAUGGACAGUACAACUCCUAGAUUUCAGAGAGGCAAGCAGGACCAGGAUAAGCAGGUCUGCCUGCUAGCUGUCCCUCUGUCUCUGCCUGCCUUCAGAGGCAAUGCACCACGGGGGGGGAUUUUUCCCAUCCAUGCCUUCUACCUUUCUUCUACCCAAGAGCUCACUGAGUGCAUCAAACAAGCAGAUUCAAUGGCAAGAAAUCCAGCAGUCUGAGGUUUGUGCCAGGCACUUUUCCAGGACAACUGCUCCUGAUGGGAUACAUACCCACUUUGCCUUCAAUGAUUGCCUAAAAUCCAUUUGGUCCUUUCUUUUCUGUAGGUUAUGAGGAAGAGAAUCUCACAAUAUGUCCCGUAGCCUUCACCUCCAUGCCCUAGAAAAAUAGAGCAUAGAAAGAUAAAGAGCUUUAUUGCUUAUUCUCUUUUAAGGGAAUAUAAAAAUCCUGUGUAGAGGAGUGAACUGAGGAACUGUGAACAAAGAGCAGGGAGAAUUAAGCUGGGAGAACUCAAUUGUUUGAUGCUAAUUUUAAUACAGCCAUAAGAACAUAGAGGGGACAGUAUAGUUAAAGGCAGAGGGGGAAAAAAUGGGAGACAAGGAAGAAGGAGAAAAGGACCAUAUGCAAGUCAGAGAUUUGAAACAAAACAAAACAAAAACCCAAACCAAAACAAAGAAAACAUUUUAAAAAUAGAGAAAUCAAUAUAAGGAAAAGGAAAUGUAUGCACACAGAAAAAAUCCCCACAUAUUGGAAAUAUGGAAUAAAGCAUCUCCUCUGAAUAUACUAUGGAAAGAGAGAAAAGCUGAGCAGGAGAGGAAAACCACUUUACUACCACAAGAUGCAUACCCUAAAAAUAAGUGUUAAAAUGUUCUGCAUCUGUCAUGCCACUUAGGUGAUGAGUUAAGGACUCCAUGAACUUUCCUAUAUUUGAUUGCUCUCUGGCUCACUCACUGUGUAAUUUUACUUGGAAGAUGCUACUUUGUUAAACAUUUAUAGAGAAAAGCUAACCCUUCCCUGACAGCAAAUCAGAUAUUACACCCAAACCUAUCUGACAUUUGGCUGUUCUCUCCAAAAUAUAACUUACCAACAAUUUAUUGCCUUUUUCCCCUUAAAUUUUGAUAGAUGUCCUUGCAAAUUCCCACUGAUGGAGGUCAGCUGUAGUGUUAGAAACAAGGGCACAGGAGGACAGUGCUCACACUCAUAAAAGCAGACAUUUUGGAGAAAACUUAAGAGCUGAAAAUAAAUAUAAGAAAUAGUUGAACUGCAACUAAAUCCCAAAUUCAGAGGAAAAUAGUCCCAUUAUUCCUCUAUAAAAGUUCCUAGUUUUGAAGUCAAUAAGUUUUGAAGGAGUAGGGGUUUAGGCUCAGUGAUAAAACAGAUAAUCUUCAGUUGCAGUGAAUCUAGGUAAUGAGCAUGAGGGUGAGGCCCAAGAUACCACUACUCUAUAAUUCUCCUCCUGAGUGACAGAAAGACUGAUUCACUGGCUUAAAGCUGUCAAGAAGAAAGUGAUGGAUCUAGGCUUAUGUCCAAUACCUCCUUAAUAGCCCAAGUGGAGUGCUAAAGCUACAUUUGCUGUCAUUGAGGAAUUUCCUGCCUUUGUGGGAGGCUGCUGCCCUGAGAGGAAGACCUACUCCAUGCAAUGGCAGAUGAAAAAAAGGGUAAAAGCCAGGGGAAUAUUGGUCUCUGACUUUGAAAUACAGUGGAAUGUGAAAAAAAAAAGUUCAGACAGGUCUUUUUACAAUACUUCAUAUGUGGAAAAGAAAGAGUAAGUAAUUACUGGAAAUGUGCUGUUAACAUGACCAAAAGCCAGUAGCUAAAGUGCCGUUUAAUUGUGUAUGAACUCCUUCAUCCCAAAACAGAUGGGGUCAAAGUGUGUUAGGCUGUUCUCUGAAGUCCAUUUCCAAACUAGAUUUUUCUCAUUUACUAACAAAGUCUAUUCCCUGGGCUAGUCCAGUACUACAUCACUCUUGACAUCAGGACUAGAUCCAAGAGGGAUGGCACAUAUGUAGGAUUCAGCUUGCACUCCUGGAAACUUUCUGUUGCUUACACAUUUUGUGACACUAAAAUUUCCUGAGCACCAGAAAGUCCUGCUGUCAAGCAUUCACAGAAAUACCCCAGUAAUAAGGGGACGGCUGAGAUUGCUUAGGCCCACAGCAUAGACAGCACUUAUUUUUGCUGCUUUGAUUUAGCAGGUAGUUCCAGGGGAUGCCUGCAGACCUGGGAUCCCUACAAAAUCCAAGUCCUUGCUUCUUUUCUAUUCCCCAGCUGAGUGCUCUAACCACUAGUUACAUUCUCUUUUCACUUGCUCAUGCCUGGAAGGAAAGGCUGCAGGCACCAUUAAUUAGGAGAGGGAUCUGGACUGCAGGAAAUGCUGUCUGAAGUUUUUACCUGAGGAGUCAAAUUUAAGAUACAUACACAGGAUUUGCACUUUCUGCCAGGUAGUAUGUUUAUUAUGCAUUUUUGCAACAUCUAAAAAGACAGCAAGGCAGUGCAUAACUUGUGACUGUGUGUGUUCUAUUUUCUCUUCUGGCUGCAUGCCCCUUGCCCUGCUCAAUACAUUAAGCUGUUCCUCUGGGCCAAUAAUGACAUGGGAAAAUGUGAAACUAUGAAGAUAAUGCAUUAAGCCCCUAAUUGCUGAGAAAGUAAGAAAGGCAAAGAAUUGAUGGGCAUAGUAGAGGAAGGCUGAAAUCUAAUUAGUCCCUCUUCCAAGACAGCAACAUAUUUCUUUACAACCAGAUCACGUUCUAGGAGUUAUGUUCAACAGUUGUGCUAAUCUGCUCUCUGGAGAGGAUCCCAAUGGUAGCUCCUCUACAGCAGCUCAGUACCUCACACAACUAACUGCUAAUCCUCCUCCAGUGUUUGAUGCUCAACAGAGGGCUCAAUAGCAGAAGAAAUCACUCAUAUUAUUGACAAAUUUUUCUUAUAACCUGCCAUAAAGGUAUGACACAGGCCUUGAAGUCCAAAUGUGCAUUACUACACACACACACACACACAAAAUCUGUCUUCCUUACUCCUGCAAACAGCAAUGACUUUCUUUCAAUAAAAGCAGGUAUGUCUUGCUUUUUAAUGAUUAAUGAUUUAUUUUUGAAUUCUGAAAAUGCAUUUAUUAAGUUCAUUUUAGGCAUGAGGCUUCAUUUUUGAUUCUGUUCUUAGCCAAAGGAAAUUUUAGGGUAAGAAAAGCAAUGUUAUCUGGGAAUUUCUGUCUUUCUUUUUAUAUUUACCUAAUUACCAUCAGUUUUAACAUUCUGUGUUUUAGUUUCCAGAGAAGGAUAAAUGUUAUUAGACUUACAAAUCAAUUUGAAGACUCAGCAUCUCUGCUUACCAGGACAGGGCAUUUGCUUGUCAGGAGCUGGACUCACACAAAUGCAUUUAUUUAACAGGCAGAAGUGAAUCUCUCAGGAAAUACGUCUACUGUUAUUCACUUUCUGCUCAUGGUUUUCACACCUUGAGACUAGAUAGUCCUGCAAAACAAUAAGUUCAGACUGAUGAAGAUUCAGACAGGAAAAAAAAAAUGUUGAUUUCUUGUGUUAUUCAAAAGAGUGACUGAAAUACCAGCACAUUUUCACAAGUUUGUCCAUAGUAGGCUUUAACCUCAAGCUUUCUUUCAAAGAAUAUUGAGUACAUAAUAGCCCCCCUGAGGUUUCACCAGACUUCUAAUAAAAUUCACGUGUGUGUGUAUUACUGUGAAAGAAAGAAGACUGAAUACACAGAAGUGUGUAAAUUCUCAGGUAUAACUUUGAGUCUGAGAUAAUUCUAUAUAUUUUGUACAAAGCAAAACAGAAUUGGGGACUAUGGAAGACCACUUUUUUCAAAACCUGAACUUCAUCAGGGGGGAUAGUCUAUCCAUUGUACCAUGACAAAAUCAGAAACCUCAGUUAAAGAGCCUGAAGACACAGAGGUUCAUGAAAGCAAGGCUGUGCUCGUUCACUUCAGUCACCAACCAGAAUCAUUCAAGCAGCCCUGGGUGUUACUCUGCUCAGACUUUAUGUGACCCAAAAGACCUCUAGCUCAGUAAGGAGGCAGUUAUGGCCUAUAUGAAUUUAGACAAUUUUAUUUUUUACAUCACUGUUCAAAACUGUUAUAAUAUAGCAUUCAACAGAUAAAACAGUUUCAUGUGUCAUGCAUAGAGGGUGACAACCAAAUAACUCAGAAUACUUUUAUCCACUGCUGAUGCAAAUAGUUGUUAACUUGCAAGACCAGAAAAAAAGAUGACAUCUGAUUAGCAAAGAGAUAUUUUCUUCUCAGGAAAAAUAUUUAUUCUGCUUCAAAAGAAACUCCAGAUUAUAAUCAAGUAAAGUAGAAGUUGACUUCUGGAAGAAAGAUGAUAACUGUCCAGAACUGAUCAAAGACUUCAAGAGCAACAUUAGCUAAUAAACUCAGUUAGUACAGAGUCCUCACUUACGAAUGCAAUUUUAAACAGGAGGGAAAUGCAAGAAAAAAGGAGCUUCUGACAGCCAUCUCAGAGAAAGCCUACAACAGGUCAGCUGAAUAAGGAAGAGAGAGAGAAGCACCUUUCUAAUUAAGUUUUACUAGAGUCUGUUAUCACAGAGGCCUUGCCACCAUUUCUAACUGGCCCAGCCUUGACCAGUGGCACAUCCAUCUUUGGAACUGCCAGGGAUUGGCUCUGCUGGACAUGCAGGAAGCUUCCAGCAGCCUCUCACAGAAGCCACCCCUGCAACCACCUGCUACCAAAGCUUGGCCAUGCAAACCCAAUACAAGUAGAGAAAGAGUUCUCAAAAGGGGCUGUACUCCAACAGCAUACACGCACAAAGGUCAGAUAAGAGUGAUUUCAGGAAACCCAGCAGAAAGACUUCAUUUUUCCAGGACACGGUGAUCCAGAGAAGAGCAGAAAUGUUUAUUCAUGUCCCCAGCAUCCCAUAAUGGGCCAGCCUAGCCUCAAACUGUGUGAGUCCCUCUGCAAGUCUGCUCCUGCUGCAGAUUCCUUGGAUGGCACAUGCCAGAAGAGGCUCCUUCACACACACCAGGCUAUGGGAAAUGCCAAAACUGCCCUCAAAAUCAUAACAGAUGGUUUCC